rnacentral:tRNA from 1 species
UCUCUAAAAAUAGCUCACUUGGUAGAGCGUUAGACUAUAAAUCGAAAGGUCCUUGGUUCGAUCCCGGGUUCGGGAA